rnacentral:rRNA from 1 species
GGAUCUGCGGUGGGUACGGGCAGACUAGAGUGAUGUAGGGGAGACUGGAAUUCCUGGUGUAGCGGUGAAAUGCGCAGAUAUCAGGAGGAACACCGAUGGCGAAGGCAGGUCUCUGGGCAUUAACUGACGCUGAGGAGCGAAAGCAUGGGGAGCGAACAGGAUUAGAUACCCUGGUAGUCCAUGCCGUAAACGUUGGGCACUAGGUGUGGGGGACAUUCCACGUUUUCCGCGCCGUAGCUAACGCAUUAAGUGCCCCGCCUGGGGAGUACGGCCGCAAGGCUAAAACUCAAAGGAAUUGACGGGGGCCCGCACAAGCGGCGGAGCAUGCGGAUUAAUUCGAUGCAACGCGAAGAACCUUACCAAGGCUUGACAUGGACCGGACCGCCGCAGAAAUGUGGUUUCCCCUUUGGGGCCGGUUCACAGGUGGUGCAUGGUUGUCGUCAGCUCGUGUCGUGAGAUGUUGGGUUAAGUCCCGCAACGAGCGCAACCCUCGUUCCAUGUUGCCAGCGCGUAAUGGCGGGGACUCAUGGGAGACUGCCGGGGUCAACUCGGAGGAAGGUGGGGACGACGUCAAAUCAUCAUGCCCCUUAUGUCUUGGGCUUCACGCAUGCUACAAUGGCCGGUACAAAGGGUUGCGAUACUGUGAGGUGGAGCUAAUCCCAAAAAGCCGGUCUCAGUUCGGAUUGGGGUCUGCAACUCGACCCCAUGAAGUCGGAGUCGCUAGUAAUCGCAGAUCAGCAACGCUGCGGUGAAUACGUUCCCGGGCCUUGUACACACCGCCCGUCAAGUCACGAAAGUUGGUAACACCCGAAGCCGGUGGCCUAACCCCUUGUGGGAGGGAGCCGUCGAAGGUGGGACUGGCGA